AGCAGUGUGGCUCAGUGGAAAGAGCCCUGGGCUUGUGAGUCAGAGGUCAUGGGUUCUAAUCCUGGCUCUGCUG
rnacentral:tRNA from 1 species